rnacentral:tRNA from 1 species
GGGCUCGUAGCUCAGCUUGGAUAGAGCGAUGCCGUCCUAAGGCAAAGGUCACGGGUUCAAAUCCCGUCGAGCCCG